rnacentral:rRNA from 1 species
AUUGAACGCUGGCGGCAGGCUUAACACAUGCAAGUCGAGCGGAGAUGAGGUGCUUGCACCUUAUCUUAGCGGCGGACGGGUGGGUAAUGCUUAGGAAUCUGCCUAUUAGUGGGGGACAACAUUCCGAAAGGAAUGCUAAUACCGCAUACGUCCUACGGGAGAAAGCAGGGGAUCUUCGGACCUUGCGCUAAUAGAUGAGCCUAAGUCGGAUUAGCUAGUUGGUGGGGUAAAGGCCUACCAAGGCGACGAUCUGUAGCGGGUCUGAGAGGAUGGUCCGCCAACCUGGGACUGAGACACGGCCCAGACUCCUACGGGAGGCAGCAGUGGGGAAUAUUGGACAAUGGGGGGAACCCUGAUCCAGCCAUGCCGCGUGUGUGAAGAAGGCCUUAUGGUUGUAAAGCACUUUAAGCGAGGAGGAGGCUACUGAGACUAAUACUCUUGGAUAGUGGACGUUACUCGCAGAAUAAGCACCGGCUAACUCUGUGCCAGCCGCCGCCGUAA